rnacentral:rRNA from 1 species
CAAUAGCGUAUAUUAAAGUUGUUGCAGUUAAAAAGCUCGUAGUUGGAUUUCGGGGCAGCCUGGCUGGUCCGCCGCAAGGCGAGUACUGGUCAGCCGCCCUUCCUCUCGAAAGCCCCGACUGCUCUUUAUUGCAGUGGUCGGGUAGUUCGGGACGUUUACUUUGAAAAAAUUAGAGUGUUCAAGGCAGGCCUACGCCUGAAUACAUUAGCAUGGAAUAAUGGAAGAGGACCUCGGUCCUAUUUUGUUGGUUUCCAGGACCGAAGUAAUGAUUAAGAGGGACAGUUGGGGUCAUUCGUAUUUAAUUGUCAGAGGUGAAAUUCUCGGAUUUAUGAAAGACGAACAACUGCGAAAGCAUUUGCCAAGGAUGUUUUCAUUAA